CAGCCGCCGCGGUAAUACGAGGGGGGCAAGCGUUGUUCGGAAUUAUUGGGCGUAAAGGGUGCGUAGGCGGUUUGAUAAGUCUUGUGUGAAAUCUAUGGGCUCAACCCAUAGUCUGCACAGGAAACUGUCGGGCUUGAGAGUGGGAGAGGUGAGUGGAAUUUCCGGUGUGGCGGUGAAAUGCGUAGAUAUCGGAAGGAACACCUGUGGCGAAAGCGGCUCACUGGACCAUUUCUGACGCUGAUGCACGAAGGCUAGGGGAGCAAACAGGAUUAGAUACCCCGGUAGUCCCUGUCUCUUAUAC
rnacentral:rRNA from 1 species